AGAGUUUGAUCCUGGCUCAGGAUGAACGCUGGCGGCGUGCUUAACACAUGCAAGUCGAACGGUGAAGCCCAGCUUGCAGGGUGGAUCAGUGGCGAACGGGUGAGUAACACGUGAGCAAUCUGCCCCUGACUCUGGGAUAAGCGCUGGAAACGGCGUCUAAUACUGGAUACGAACAGCGACCGCAUGGUCAGUUGUUGGAAAGAAUUUCGGUCAGGGAUGAGCUCGCGGCCUAUCAGCUUGUUGGUGAGGUAAUGGCUCACCAAGGCGUCGACGGGUAGCCGGCCUGAGAGGGUGACCGGCCACACUGGGACUGAGACACGGCCCAGACUCCUACGGGAGACAGCAGUGGGGAAUAUUGCACAAUGGGCGCAAGCCUGAUGCAGCAACGCCGCGUGAGGGACGACGGCCUUCGGGUUGUAAACCUCUUUUAGCAGGGAAGAAGCGAAAGUGACGGUACCUGCAGAAAAAGCGCCGGCUAACUACGUGCCAGCAGCCGCGGUAAUACGUAGGGCGCAAGCGUUAUCCGGAAUUAUUGGGCGUAAAGAGCUCGUAGGCGGUUUGUCGCGUCUGCUGUGAAAUCCCGAGGCUCAACCUCGGGUCUGCAGUGGGUACGGGCAGACUAGAGUGCGGUAGGGGAGAUUGGAAUUCCUGGUGUAGCGGUGGAAUGCGCAGAUAUCAGGAGGAACACCGAUGGCGAAGGCAGAUCUCUGGGCCGUAACUGACGCUGAGGAGCGAAAGGGUGGGGAGCAAACAGGCUUAGAUACCCUGGUAGUCCACCCCGUAAACGUUGGGGACUAGUUGUGGGGUCCAUUCCACGGAUUCCGUGACGCAGCUAACGCAUUAAGUUCCCCGCCUGGGGAGUACGGCCGCAAGGCUAAAACUCAAAGGAAUUGACGGGGACCCGCACAAGCGGCGGAGCAUGCGGAUUAAUUCGAUGCAACGCGAAGAACCUUACCAAGGCUUGACAUAUACGAGAACGGGCCAGAAAUGGUCAACUCUUUGGACACUCGUAAACAGGUGGUGCAUGGUUGUCGUCAGCUCGUGUCGUGAGAUGUUGGGUUAAGUCCCGCAACGAGCGCAACCCUCGUUCUAUGUUGCCAGCACGUAAUGGUGGGAACUCAUGGGAUACUGCCGGGGUCAACUCGGAGGAAGGUGGGGAUGACGUCAAAUCAUCAUGCCCCUUAUGUCUUGGGCUUCACGCAUGCUACAAUGGCCGGUACAAAGGGCUGCAAUACCGUAAGGUGGAGCGAAUCCCAAAAAGCCGGUCCCAGUUCGGAUUGAGGUCUGCAACUCGACCUCAUGAAGUCGGAGUCGCUAGUAAUCGCAGAUCAGCAACGCUGCGGUGAAUACGUUCCCGGGUCUUGCACACACCGCCCGUCA
rnacentral:rRNA from 1 species